UGGGGAAUAUUGGGCAAUGGGCGCAAGCCUGACCCAGCAACGCCGCGUGAAGGAAGAAGGCCCUCGGGUUGUAAACUUCUUUUAUCAAGGACGAAACAAAUGACGGUACUUGAUGAAUAAGCCACGGCUAACUACGUGCCAGCAGCCGCGGUAAUACGUAGGUGGCAAGCGUUAUCCGGAUUUACUGGGUGUAAAGGGCGUGUAGGCGGGACUGCAAGUCAGAUGUGAAAACCAUGGGCUCAACCCAUGGCCUGCAUUUGAAACUGUAGUUCUUGAGUGUUGGAGAGGCAGGCGGAAUUCCGUGUGUAGCGGUGAAAUGCGUAGAUAUACGGAGGAACACCAGUGGCGAAGGCGGCCUGCUGGACAAUAACUGACGCUGAGGCGCGAAAGCGUGGGGAGC
rnacentral:rRNA from 1 species